CCAAACGUGUGGAUCUUAUAGUGUAUGGCCAGGUCGCCAAAUGUGUGGAUCUUAUAGUGUAUGGCCAGGUCAUCAAACGUGGACCUUAUAGUGUAUGACCACCUUUACGUGCCCUAAAAAUUGCUGAUCAGUUAAGCGAAGCCAAUGGGACAGCACUAUCUUCUGGUGGGAGGUGGUAUAGAAGUUGAUUUCCCACCUCUGUUCUAACAGACUUUGGAUUGUUUCUGAUUUUGAGGCUUUCAGCUAAAACCCUGUAACCCCCAACUUACACCACCUACUAGCAAGGUUGUGGCAAUAUUCCUUACCUUGGCAAAGGUAUUCAAUAUCUUCUAUUUAAUCUGACAACUGAUGGAUUCUCCAUAAAGAGUGUAAUUGUAGAGGCAACCAGUUAUGCAUAGUAAAAAUGCCAAUGGCUCUUGUAUGUACAAUUCACUGAAAGAGAAACACUUCUUGUCCUGCAUACCCAGCUUAGCAUGGAUGGGUAAGUGUUGUUUGAAACUAUCAGUUUCUCAGUAACAAGAACCAGACGUCUUUUUAACUGAUCUGUUGCACAUGUGUACAGAUAUUAAAGUUGGAACGGGUGCACGGAACCUUAUCUCUAACAGAACUGGUAAAUCGAUAGUACUGGUGUCAUGCCUACUCCGACAUGUUAUUCCAUUCAGAACAACAGGUACAGGAGGCGGCUCGGUUACAUUAACAGGCUGUUCCAACACUUGUCAUUCAAGGAGAAGCACUGAUUCUCAGAAGGAAGACUCAGAUCCAAAUGGUUUAGUGGCACGUUCCCUCACUUUUUGCGGUUUGGCAGCUGAACAUUUCAAAUACCUGACUCAUGACAAAGCGGAAUCGGCUUGCUGCACCGGGGUGUGACUCAGGAUUGGGUACUUGGCACGGGCCGCUUGUUUAACCGCGGGAAGCGUGAAUAUGGAACAAAACCUCUGAAUCUCCCAUGAAAAUGAUCUCAUGAACAUGAAGGUGUUUCCAGGCAGAGGCACUUAAUGAUUGAAAAGCACUGAAGGAUAAUCAUUUUGCCGUUUCUAUGGAAAUAUACAGUAAGUGGUUCAUUACUUUUGUGGCAGAUUUUUAAGUAUCUUUGUAGCCGAGGUGAUAAAUGGUAGAGCAAUGAAAGGAUGAAGAACCCUGGCGUAGCACUGAUUGGGUAUUUAGACUGUUAA